AUCCGGCUGACGAGUCCCAAACAGGACAAGACGUGCUUCCCGUAU
rnacentral:hammerhead_ribozyme from 1 species